rnacentral:rRNA from 1 species
GAUGAACGCUGGCGGCGUGCCUAGUACAUGCAAGUCGAGCGAACAGACGAGGAGCUUGCUCCUCUGACGUUAGCGGCGGACGGGUGAGUAACACGUGGAUAACCUACCUAUAAGACUGGGAUAACUUCGGGAAACCGGAGCUAAUACCGGAUAAUAUAUUGAACCGCAUGGUUCAAUAGUGAAAGACGGUCUUGCUGUCACUUAUAGAUGGAUCCGCGCCGCAUUAGCUAGUUGGUAAGGUAACGGCUUACCAAGGCAACGAUGCGUAGCCGACCUGAGAGGGUGAUCGGCCACACUGGAACUGAGACACGGUCCAGACUCCUACGGGAGGCAGCAGUAGGGAAUCUUCCGCAAUGGGCGAAAGCCUGACGGAGCAACGCCGCGUGAGUGAUGAAGGUCUUCGGAUCGUAAAACUCUGUUAUUAGGGAAGAACAAAUGUGUAAGUAACUGUGCACGUCUUGACGGUACCUAAUCAGAAAGCCACGGCUAACUACGUG